ensembl:snRNA U2 U2 spliceosomal RNA
GUCACUUCUCUGUAAUAUGCCUACAGGGAAAAAUGUUAUCUGUUUUUACCAGUUUAGUAUUUGAUAUGUCCUCUAUCUAGGGAUAAUAUAUUAAACUGAUUCCUUGGAAAUAGGAGGUAGAAUAGGAACUUGCUUUGUCUGCUCCAUGAAUCAACCUGAUACUGCAGUAACUCCAGGAACAGAGCACCCUCC